UACAGAGGUCUCAAGCGUUGUUCGGAUUCAUUGGGCGUAAAGGGCGCGUAGGCGGCAAGGCAAGUCGGGUGUGAAAGCUUGGGGCUUAACCCCGAAAGGGCACUCGAAACUGCGUUGCUAGAGGGCCGGAGAGGAGAUCGGAAUUCACGGUGUAGCAGUGAAAUGCGUAGAGCUCGUGAGGAAGACCGGUGGCGAAGGCGGAUCUCUGGACGGCCCCUGACGCUGAGGCACGAAAGCGUGGGGAGCAAACAGG
rnacentral:rRNA from 1 species